AAAGUCGUAACAAGGUUUCCGUAGGUUAACCUGAUGCGGAAUCAUUG
rnacentral:rRNA from 1 species